AUAUGAGAUUUAUUAGCUAGCCCU
rnacentral:siRNA from 1 species